UACGUAGGUGGCAAGCGUUGUCCGGAUUCACUGGGCGUAAAGCGCGCGCAGGCGGUCUUCUACGUCUGGGGUGAAAACCCGGGGCUCAACCCCGGGACUGCCUUGGAUACGGGAAGACUUGAGGGUGGGAGAGGUAAGCGGAAUUCCUGGUGUAGCGGUGAAAUGCGUAGAUAUCAGGAGGAACACCUGUGGUGUAGACAGCUUACUGGACCACUUCUGACGCUGAGACACGAAAGCGUGGGUAGCAAACAGG
rnacentral:rRNA from 1 species